UACGUAGGGUGCGAGCGUUGUCCGGAAUUAUUGGGCGUAAAGGGCUCGUAGGCGGUUUGUCGCGUCUGCUGUGAAAACCCGAGGCUCAACUCCGGGCCUGCAGCCGAUACGGGCAGACUAGAGUUCGGUAGGGGAGACUGGAAUUCCUGGUGUAGCGGUGAAAUGCGCAGAUAUCAGGAGGAACACCGGUGGCGAAGGCGGGUCUCUGGGCCGAUACUGACGCUGAGGAGCGAAAGCGUGGGGAGCGAACAGG
rnacentral:rRNA from 1 species